rnacentral:lncRNA from 1 species
AUAUAAAGAUACUUGAUCGCUGAAUUGAAAGGUAAUGUUGGGACAAAAGAAACGUAAUGUUCUUCACUCUUAUUCUUGUCACACAAUAUGAUAUCUUUACUUCUUUUUCUUGUUCCUAGCUUAUACUACAUAUCACUUAUAGUGGCAUCUCUCCUCUUAUUCCGGUUGUUGACAUCUGAUAAGUGAUGAAGGAUACAAAAAAAUGGCAGAUUAAUAAUAAGUGGAAAAAAACUCAAAUUAUAGUGCGGACUAGGUGUAUUGUUUUACAAAUUUGAACAUUCUCAACAAGGCCGAUAUAAAAACAACUAAACAAUAUAGUUAUAACAUAAUAAGUAGUUACAAUAAAGGGCAUUAAUAAUGCUAGCGCAAAUUGAAUCACAGGUCAAAUAUAACUUUCAAGACCAACAUCUUGAAAGGAUUCUUCAUAUUAUCAACUUUUGAUCAUUCUGAAAGGUGCAUUGUGUGGCAACGCCUCAAAAUUGCAAAACAGAAGGAAAUGAUAGGAAAUGAAACAACAAGAUUGGCAAAGUAUGAGAUGUCGGGUCAAAAGUAGAUCCAGACGCAAGAGGAGAAAAGCUUUGUUGCCCCCCCCCCCCAACUGAGUAUCUAAGCAGAAGAACAUUGUCUCCAAACAUGUAAGGAGAUGAUAUAAAGAAUUUCUAAGGACAACUGUACGAGCAGAAAUCUGAGGCUCGGAGGAGGACCCUCGGUUUCUAGUGCACCAUGAGAUAUUUCCUAAAUGAACCACAGUAUAAAGAAUACAUCAGAUGCACUAAAACCAGUAGAAUUAAUGUAUAUAUUACCAUAAAGAACAGAAACAACUAUGCAGACACACAUACAUAAUAAAUGGGCAUUUUAAUUGUCACCGUUAAUUAUCUCUUUUAUAGCUCAUAUAUGAAGCAAAGGAACCUGAACCACAGCAACACAAGCAAGAUAAUUAAAUAAACAACUCACUACCACCUCCUGUACAUCCAGCCAUAGGUCAAUAAAGAAUACAUUCAUCUUUUCUAUACACAAAUAUCCAUCCAACACAACAUGACAACUGUUUAUGUCUGAAAUAUUUGGAUUGAUGUCACAUUUAUACAUUCAUGAUCGGAGCUUAUAUGCCAGUCUACAUAUACAUAGUGGAUGGAUGAAACACGGGAGCGUACCUCAACAUCAUAUAAAGUAUUUUAACAGAAAAUAGGCCCGUUAGAUUACCAUUCAUGUACGGUGGACAAAUGAAAUUUGUUAUUUAUUUUAAUAUGUCGAAUAAAGUUGUCAAUCUGGAAAUGCAAAAUAUCUGAAGUCACCAGGUUAUUUGUGGGCUAACAAACUGUCAUUCUUCUCACAUAGAUUAUUAUUUACUUGGUGUGAAUUCCAUUCAAAAAUAAAUAGAAGGGUUACAGAUGUUCGAUGUGCCCUGCUCAGUUUAUUUUGGAAGGGGUAAAAACAAUUGUGCUUGCAUGGUGAAUUACAUAAAUCAAAUAGAUAAUGUCAAUGUUGAAUCAUGGCAGGAAGGGCACUAACCAGUCCAGUAGCCAUGGAUGAACUUCGGGUAGGGACACCACAAUUGAAGUAAAUUGCUAUACAUGUAAAAUAUCUUCCCUCUCAAUAAAAAGGAUUGCAAGUGAACGAACAUUGAGAUCACAUCUCCAAAGGUAAUCAGACUUGUCAUCAGUCCAUCUCUGAUGUCCAAUGCAUCAUAUAUUCCUAAACUGAAUGAUCCAACUAUUAAGAAGUGAACAGUUAUGGCUUCACAUGAAGCUUCAUUACAACACUAUGGUAUUAAGAUUGAUGUCUUCUGCUAUAGCGAGUACAUGAUGUCCUCACACAUAGAAAAUAAAGACCAUGGAGUGCAUCAUUGUAAGUUCCAUCGCCAAGGAAAUCAAAGCCUGGAUAGUUUAAAAGAAACGAGUAAAGUGCAGAUUUUAACCAGGAAGAUUUUCCACCAGUGCCCUACUUGCCAUUGGGUGCCUGAAUAGUUUAAAGGAAACAAACAAAGUGUAGAUUUAACUAGGAAGACUUUCCACCAAUGCCCUACUUGCCAUUGGUAGCCUGAAUUGCUUAAAGGAAACAAACAAAGUGUAGACUUAACCAGGAAGAUUUUCCACCAAUGCCAUACUUGCCAUCGGGAAAUACCUUUUUGUCACUUGUCUUUGGUCGCUCGUCGGGCACAUGGAACACCAAUUAAAGAUUUCCAUGCAAAGAGUUAUGUGCCAAGCCUUGUUC